rnacentral:rRNA from 1 species
AUGUGGCCCGGGCGCACUAUUUCUAAUGAAACUCCCACUGAACGUCUUCUUCAUAUCACACCAGAUUACACCGCCCUUCGUGUUUUUGGUUGCGCAUGUUGGCCAAAUCUUUGUCCAUACAAUACUCGAAAACUCAUGUAUCUUUCCAAACAGUGUGUUUUUCUUGGCUAUAGUGCGCAACACAAAGGUGUCAAGUGCCUUGAUGUUUCUACAGGCUGUGUGUACAUCUCACGUGACGUCGUUUUUGAUGAGACUCAGUUUCCCUUUGCAAGUCUACACCCCAAUGCUGGCGCGCUCCUUGGGAAAGAAAUCCUUCUUAUCCCAUCUCAUCUUUCCGGUGUUACAUGUGUGGGCGAUGAUAGUUGUGCUGACCAAAAUAUGACUAAUAUAUCUCCUGUUUAUCCCUGA